rnacentral:rRNA from 1 species
CCCUUAGAUGUUCUGGGCCGCACGCGCGCUACACUGAUGCAUUCAACGAGCCUAUCCUUGACCGACAGGUCCGGGUAAUCUUUGAAUCUGCAUCGUGACGGGGAUAGAUUAUUGCAAUUAUUAAUCUUCAACGAGGAAUGCCUAGUAGGCGCAAGUCAUAAGCUUGCGUCGAUUACGUCCCUGCCCUUUGUACACACCGCCCGUCGCUCCUACCGAUUGGGUGUGCUGGUGAAAUGUUCGGAUCGGCCGUUUGUCGCGGUUUCCGCGGCUCGUGGCUGAGAAGUUCAUUAAACCCUCCCACCUAGAGGAAGGAGAAGUCGUAACA